AAGAAGUUUUGAGGCAUGGCCUUGAUAAGAUUGAUUGUUGAAAAUCAAGGCACACACCAUUCCUUCCACCAUCUCACGUAAUAUCAUAAUUCUCAACAAAUUCAACCAUUUUCAAGCAAAGAACCCUUCCCCCAACACUCUAAACUUUCGGCAGCCACUAGACACACAAGAAUCCACCAAAAUUUACCCCUAAACACCCUAAAUUCUUCACUUUUAAGGCCUCUUAUGAACAUAUAAGCAUGGGUUAAAUAUGGAGCUUCACUAGGAGCAUCUUUGAAGCUUAUCUUUCUUCUUAUUAUCUAAUCUAGCUUGUGCACUUUGUAAGUCUACUAAACACCAUAUUUAUGAUUCUUAUUACUAGAAACAGGUCUUGAGCCGGUGAUUCACUAUGGGAUUCGGGAAAACAAAUGACAACGAUGGCCACUUUUGGAGGGUUUGUCUUUUAUAUCCCAACUUCGUAUGGGUAUAUAGGGGACAAAACCUCACUAUGUUUUAUAUCAAAAGCUAUCUUUUGUUAUGUGUAGAUAACUUAGAACUAUGCUAUGUCAAACGUUGUUGAAAACUUGUAAUCUUUUGUUGAAAACUAU
rnacentral:lncRNA from 1 species